UACAGAGGGGGCAAGCGUUGUUCGGAAUUACUGGGCGUAAAGGGCGCGUAGGCGGCCCGCUAAGUCGAACGUGAAAUCCCCGGGCUUAACCCGGGAACUGCAUCUGAUACUGGAUGGCUUGAGUUCGGGAGAGGGAUGCGGAAUUCCAGGUGUAGCGGUGAAAUGCGUAGAUAUCUGGAGGAACACCGGUGGCGAAGGCGGCAUCCUGGACCGACACUGACGCUGAGGAGCGAAAGCCAGGGGAGCAAACGGG
rnacentral:rRNA from 1 species